AGAGUUUGAUCCUGGCUCAGGAUGAACGCUAGCUACAGGCUUAACACAUGCAAGUCGAGGGGCAGCGGGAAGGAAGCUUGCUUUCUUCGCCGGCGACCGGCGCACGGGUGAGUAACGCGUAUCGAACCUGCCUCAUACUCGGGAAUAACCUUGCGAAAGUAAGACUAAUACCCGAUGUUUUCAUCUCCUCGCAUGAGGAGUUGAACAAAGUUUUUCGGUAUGAGAUGGCGAUGCGUCCCAUUAGCUUGUUGGCGGGGUAACGGCCCACCAAGGCAUCGAUGGGUAGGGGUUCUGAGAGGAAGGUCCCCCACAUUGGAACUGAGACACGGUCCAAACUCCUACGGGAGGCAGCAGUGAGGAAUAUUGGUCAAUGGACGGAAGUCUGAACCAGCCAAGUAGCGUGCAGGAUGACGGCCCUCUGGGUUGUAAACUGCUUUUAGUUGGGAAUAAAGUGCGGUACGUGUACCGUUUUGUAUGUACCAUCAGAAAAAGGACCGGCUAAUUCCGUGCCAGCAGCCGCGGUAAUACGGAAGGUCCAGGCGUUAUCCGGAUUUAUUGGGUUUAAAGGGAGCGCAGGCGGACUCUUAAGUCAGUUGUGAAAUACGGCGGCUCAACCGUCGGACUGCAGUUGAUACUGGGAGUCUUGAGUACACGCAGAGAUACUGGAAUUCAUGGUGUAGCGGUGAAAUGCUCAGAUAUCAUGAGGAACUCCGAUCGCGAAGGCAGGUAUCUGGAGUGUAACUGACGCUGAGGCUCGAAAGUGCGGGUAUCAAACAGGAUUAGAUACCCUGGUAGUCCGCACAGUAAACGAUGAAUACUCGCGGUUGGCGAUAUACAGUCAGCCGCCAAGCGAAAGCGUUAAGUAUUCCACCUGGGGAGUACGCCGGCAACGGUGAAACUCAAAGGAAUUGACGGGGGCCC
rnacentral:rRNA from 1 species